AUACGCCCGAAUCCACCAGAACCGUCUGGAACUUGAGUCGCCUCGCCGAACGCUCCAAGUCUCUUGUCGGAUUGCUCGGAUCGCCCUCUUCGCUCCCUGCUUCUCUUACCCCCUGUUCUCCUCCACCGGCGACUUCACCCCAACGACGAUCUCCACGCUCCCAAGCUGACGGCUGACGCUUCCCCACCAGAAGACCUGAAGCAGCGAAAAGCUAAUCUUCUCUCCUUAUUCUAGCUAAACCUCCUACUACUACUCCUAAUCCUUCUUUAAUACCUGACAGGUGUAACAAUCCAUCCUACUUAAGUCGAUCCUUGUCCUCAAGGAUCAAAAGAUGGAUAUUGGCUCUUGAGGAACCCACGAUCUUCCCAUGUUGCGAGUUCCCUUGGAAGAUUUGCCCAUUUCACCAAAACUUCGGUCGCGACCAUGUUUCCGCGCGUCACCGUCCGCCUUUCCAAUAUUUCCUCUGGUUCGACCCGCAACUUAUCCUCUUCCCCGAUAGAUGGUGCCUUCGGAGAUGCCUGAACGGAAGAUGGGGGACUCUUCUUCAACAAGGAAACAUGGAACACUGGGUGAAUCCUUGACCCUUCUGGUAACUGUAGAUUGUACGCGACUGGCCCGAUACGCUCCAGUAUCUUAAAGGGACCAAAAAAUCGUGCAGAAAGCUUAAUAUUUUUCCUUAUCGCCACCGUGGUUUGCUGAUAGGGUUGUAGUUUAAGGUAAACCCAAUCUCCGACCAAGUACUCCUUCUCCACCCUAUGCUUGUCUGCCUGUUGCUUCAUCCUGCUCUGUGCUAUUUGCAAUCGAUCAGCUUUUCCCUCUGUGUAGCCCACCCCUUAAACUCCUGCGAGGUAGCUGUAUCCACAGCGGCCACCAGGUAAUUUGGUGGAGGUUGCCCAUAUAACGCCUCGUAAGGGGUCAUUCCCAAUGACGAAUGGAAGUUUGUAUUAUACCACCAUUCGGCUAGCGCUAACCAAGAAUGCCACUUUUUUGGGUGCUGAAAACAUAAGCACCUCAAAUAGGUUUCCAAACACCUGCUGACCCUCUCCGUUUGCCCGUCAGUUUCCGGAUGAUACGCCGAACUCAUGUGCAGUUUGGUUCCCAUGGAUUGGAAAAGCUCCUUCCAAAACUGACUCACGAAUAUUUUGUCUCUAUCAGAAACGAUACUCUUGGGGCAACCAUGCAGUUUAUAGAUGGUUCCCAUAAAGGCCUUAGCAACAUCUGAUGCUGAAAAGGGAUGCUUGAGAGAUAUAAAAUGAGCAUAUUUGGUGAGCCGGUCAACUACAACCAUUAUUGUAUCGCGCCCCUCUGACUUAGGUAAUGAUUCAAUGAAAUUCAUACUUACGUCCUCCCAAAUUCGGUGAGGAAUCGGCAACGGCUGCAACAAUCCACUGUAUGGUGUUCCAUCCACUUUGUUCUGAGCACAAACCGUGCACCCCUUGACCCAAUCUUCCACAUCCCUUUUUAAUCAUUGCCAAAAAAAAAUGUUGCUUAACUCUCCUAUAAGUGUUCUGGAUUCCGGAAUGGCCUCCCAAGGCAGAAUUAUGCAUUUGAUCUAAAACUUUCUCCCGGAUAGGUCCAGUCUGCCCAACAUAGAGCCUCCCUUUGUAGCGUAGCAACUCAUUGCCAUAGGAGUAAUAUCCUGGGGUGUCUGGCCGCAAGGUUAGCUCUUUUAUUAUCCUCUCACAAUAUGGAUCCCCCUUGUAACUUUCCACCACCUCUCGUACCCAAGUUGGUACUGCCGCUGAGAUCGCCAAUGCAACUCCCCCUUCUUCUCUUCUGGAUAGUGCAUCGGCUGCCGCAUUUUCUUUACCCCUCCUAUAUUGGAUCGUGUAAUUAAGCCCCAUCAUUUUAAGCAUGCCCUUCUGCUGCAGCGGGGUGGAUUUUUUAUCCUUUGCUCGAGUAGGUGCUUUAGGCUUUCAUGAUCUGUUUUAAUCACAAAUGUACUUGUGCCUAAAUAAUACUUCCACCUUUGAACCGCCAUGAGUAUCGCUAAGAACUCUUUUUCGUAAGUUGAUAAUCCCAGGUGCUUCCCGCUAAUAGCCUUGCUCAAAUAGGCAAUGGGUCUUCCUCCUUGGGACAAUACUGCCCCUAUCCCCAUGCCGCAAGCAUCUGCUUCUAUUGUGAAAGGUUCACCAAAGUUAGGCAUAGCGAGUACUGGAGCCUUUGUCAUAGCCAACUUUAACUCUUCGAAAGCUACUUGUGAUUCUCCCUUCCAAUCGAACUGAUCCUUUCUCAACAACUCAGUCAGAGGCUUGCUAAUCUUCCCAUACCCUUUUAUGAAUUUGCGAUAAUAUCCGGUGAGUCCUAAGAACCCACACAAUUCCUUCACAGAUUUUGGUACCGGCCAAUUAAUCAUCGCUUCAAUUUUGGAUGGAUCGGUGGCUACCCUUCGUCAGAUAUUAUGUGACCUAAAUACUCCACCUGGUUCUGCCCAAAAUAGCACUUACUUCGUUUGGCGUAAAAUUUAUUCUUUCUCAAUUCUCCCAAAGCGAUGCGGAGAUGUUGUUCAUGAUCCUCAAUAUUCUUACUGUAGAUUAGAAUGUCAUCAAAGAAAACCAGGAUGAAUUUUCUCAAGUAUGGCUCGAAGGUAUAGUUCAUUACGGCUUGAAACGUCGCGGGUGCGUUCGUUAAGCCGAACGGCAUGACUCGAAACUCAUAAUGCCCUUGAUGCGUCCGGAAUGCCGUUUUAUGAAUGUCCCCCGGCUUCAUCCGGAUCUGAUGAUAGCCCGACCUGAGAUCUAUCUUGGAAAAAUACUUCGAUCCACCUAAUUCAUCAAGCAAGUCAUCUAUAAUUGGUAUAGGGAAUUUGUCCUUCACCGUGCAUUUGUUAAGCUGGCGAUAAUCUAUACACAUUCUCCAGCUCCCAUCUUUUUUCUUAACUAGUAAAGCGGGUGAGGCGAAAGGACUAUUGCUCCGCUGAAUAAUCUCGUGGCUCAAUAACUCCUUUAUCUGUUUCUCGAUCUCCUCCUUCUGAUCAUGCGAGUACCGGUAGGGCCUAACAUUAAUUGGGGCUGUGUUAGGCUGCAGAGGAAUUUUAUGGUCUUGAAUGCGGAUUGGGGGUAACUCCCUUGGCUCCUCGAACACAUCCUGAAAUUGAUCCAGCACCCUUCGGAUCUUCGGGAGUAUGUCAACAUCCCGUUCACUAUCUUCUGGUGUUGAUUGGUGCCUGAGGAGAUAGCAUUCUCCUUUCUGUGCUUCUUGCCUCCAUUGAGCUGUAGAUAUUAGACUUAAUCUAGCCCCUUCCGCAAUUCCCUUUAGCUCUAAUUUCUGUCCAUCUUGACUGAUCGCCACCGAGUUGGAUACAAAAUCGAAAGUCACCACUCCAUAAGACUUUAACCAAUCAAUUCCCAAUACCAUGUUAGAGCCUUCGAUCCUGAUCACUCUUAAGUCCGUUCGAAAAGUUUCUCCCUGCAUAGUCCAAGUGAACUCAGGGCAUCUUAAUUUGCUCAAAACCUUGUGCCCGUUUGCUACUGUCACAGUCAGGGGUGGUGCUGCUUCCAUCCGCGCUCCUACCUCCUGGGCUACUAGCAGGUCGAUGAAACUGUGAGUGCUUCCUGUGUCGAUCAAGAUGGUAAGAGUCCGAUUGUUCGUUUCACCCCUUAUCUUAAUGGUGUCUUGGGGUAUUUCUCCACUUAAGGCAUGCACUGAUACCCCUAUUUCCCGCUGCUCCUCUUCCCCAAGUAUGAUUUCAGUUUCCUCGCCUUCUCUUCUAUUGGCCGCCCCUUCGCUAUGUCCUGUUUGUAAACAUUCUUCAUCAUAAACCUCCAUAAUAUUGUCAGCAGCUUGUAGGAUGUUUAACGAUUUGUUGGAACACACGUGUCCCGGGUGGUAUUUGUCGCCGCACCGAAAACAUAACCCAGCGGCUCGACGUUGUUCAAUUAAUUAUUUGUUGAUUGGAUAGGGGUUUACCGGAGUCUUGUUCUGACUUUGGGUCGGCUGCUUGCUUCCCUCCGAACUCUUAUACAACGAGUUGGAUGGAUAGGUCUUGGGAAUAUAUCUAUUCUUCCGAUUGAUCACAGCAAUGGCCUUCUCAUGUAACUGCGGUUGCUCAUAUGCUUCCUCUAGUGUGUUCGGGUGAGCAAUGUCGAGAAACGGAACUAACUCUUUCUUCAGUCCAUUAAUAUAGCAAGCAAUAAAAUAUUCUUCCAAUAAAUGAGGAUUGUAGUGGAGCAGUUGGAACCUCAACUCCUCGAACCUUUCUUGGUACUUUUCACAAGUCCCCGUAUGCUUCAAGUUACUGAAUUCUCGAAUUAAAUACCUCUCGCCCGCUUGCGAAAAUCUUCUACAUAUGGCCUCAGUGAACUCGUCCCAUGAAACGAGUUGUUUGUUGAUGAAAUACCCUUGUUUCCAUGUCCUUGCCUUGCCGAUCAAGUGUAGGGUUGCCACACUUAACCACUGAUGCCGGGGUAUCUGAUAUAGUUCAAAAUAUUGCUCGCAAUUCUCGAUCCAACUUCGAGGGUCGUCUCCGUCAAAGAAGGGGAAAUCCAGCUUCGGAUAAGAUAACUGAUAAUGAUUAUGCUUGUUGACCCAUGGUGAGCUCUGACUCUCUUUCUCCUCUGUUUGUCUUGGUGGCGUUGGUAGGAUCCCUUUGCCUUUAUCUGCUCGGGUAAUUAAUGGUGUUCUACUGAUCCCAGGGUUGCCGCAUUGUGGAGGCUUUCCUUCCAGUGGGCUUACCGGUGCCUGGCUCUUGAGUGGAGGUGGCUGAGCUGCGAACAGCUUGAGCAGCUCCUCGUGCCUUUUAUUUGCCUCGACCUGUAUCGCUUCAUAUUGCCUCUGCCCGGACUCCUUGACUUCGGCAAUCUGAUGGUUGAUUACCUCAAUCUCGGCUUGAUGCUCAGCUCCCAAUUUUUGGAACUGCUCUUCUAGAGUACGUAUAUGAUCACUCAGGUCCCUCAACCUAGUCCCCUCAGCCAUCUCUAUCUCAUCCAGAUAUUCUUUUGGGUUAAAUCGAAACUUGUUGCCUCGUUUGCCCCCAAUCUUGCUAAUAUCCGAGGAUGAUUAAAAGCGGUCAGAGCGUGAUACAGUUCAGGGAUGUUACUGUGGUGGUUUCUUUUGUCCAACCCGAUCUCAUAUCAGAUUUGGCAGCGCAGAAUCCUCUCGCGAUUAAAUUCGACAAUACUUGAUUGGAGUUAGGAAGCGAAUUUACCACACAACGCCCUGAGAUCGUACCGCUCUGAUACCAAUUGUUACGUACUUGACUCGAUGCAACCCGUUGAUGACGAAAUCUUGCUGAGGCGAAGGACAGCGUUGAGAUGAUGGUUCUCGUAACAGCCUGACUCGGAUUAGUCAAAUAGGAAUUGAGAUAUUCUGAUAAAGAAGAUGAAGAGAGAAUAGAGGGGGAAAUAAUGGGAAGGAGAUGAAUGGGGGAAUUUAAGAAGAAAGAGAAAGAUUAAGAAGAAUAGGGAGUUGAUGAGGAAGAAGAAAAUUUCAUUAAUUCGCAUAAAAAUCUCCUGUUACACGCUGCCCCCUUUUAUUCACACUAAAGCAAACCCUAAUUCUAAUUGGACUCCCUAAACCUAUUACCUGCUACCCAAAUCCCCACAUGGGCUUAAUCCCCGGCCCGCUCCGAAGACAUAUUGGAUCAGUACCUCCCAUCCUUGUGCCCGAAUCCGCCAUACGCCCGAAUCCACCAGAACCGUCUGGAACUUGAGUCGCCUCGCCGAACGCUCCAAGUCUCUUGUCGGAUUGCUCGGAUCGCCCUCUUCGCUCCCUGCUUCUCUUACCCCCUGUUCUCCUCCACCGGCGACUUCACCCCAACGACGAUCUCCACGCUCCCAAGCUGACGGCUGACGCUUCCCCACCAGAAGACCUGAAGCAGCGAAAAGCUAAUCUUCUCUCCUUAUUCUAGCUAAACCUCCUACUACUACUCCUAAUCCUUCUUUACUACCUAACAGGUGUAACAAAGUGUUUAAAAGCCACGAAAAUUCCAAAACCAUGAGUAUCCAAAACUUAUAAAUACAUCAUUCAAAAAUUCACAAGUAUAACGUAUCAACCGAACCAUAUUUAUCAUCUACUAAAAGGUGUAGGGGUGAACUAUACUAUCACAUGUAU
rnacentral:lncRNA from 1 species